GGGCCCGCACAAGCAGUGGAGUAUGUGGUUUAAUUCGAAGCAACGCGAAGAACCUUACCAGGGCUUGACAUCUGCCGAAUCCCAAGAGAUUGGGAGUGCCUUUUAGGAACGGCAAGACAGGUGGUGCAUGGUUGUCGUCAGCUCGUGUCGUGAGAUGUUGGGUUAAGUCCCGCAACGAGCGCAACCCUUAUUGUUAGUUGCCAUCAUUUGGUUGGGCACUCUAACGAGACUGCCGGUGACAAAUCGGAGGAAGGUGGGGACGACGUCAAAUCAUCAUGCCCCUUAUGUCCUGGGCUACACACGUACUACAAUGGCCGCAAACAACGGGAAGCGAAGCCGCGAGGCGGAGCAAAUCCCCAAAAGCGGUCCCAGUUCGGAUUGCAGGCUGAAACUCGCCUGCAUGAAGUCGGAAUUGCUAGUAAUCGCAGAUCAGCAUGCUGCGGUGAAUACGUUCCCGGGCCUU
rnacentral:rRNA from 1 species